AGAAUAUAUAAAUGAGCACCUCAGCUCAGUUCUCAGUGAACGCCCUUCUUGACAAGAUGAAGUCCUUAGUCUUCAUCCUUUCUCUGCUCCUCAUUCUGGAAAGACAAGCAGCUGUGGUUGGACAAUAUGGUGGAAUAAAAGGUGGCUUCACCAAAGGUGGCUUCACAAAAGGUGGCUUCACGAAAGGUGGCGUCACCAAAGGUGGCUUCACGAGUAGCUCUUCAGGAUUUAUGAAAGGUCAUGUCAGUUACGGGCUCAAAGGAGGAAGUGAGAAUGCAGCUGAAGAAAGUGCUUUCUUGCAAACAAAACAACAAGUAUAUAGCAAGGGUGGUAACAUGGCACAGGCACGCCUUUCACAAGAACACACAGGUGUAAAGGGGGCCGCACUUUGUCGUAAAGGACAAACACCCCAAAUAAAAUCCCAGGAAUCCCAAGUAAAAUCCUUUGGACAAACGAAAUCCCUUGGAUCUCAAAUGAAGUCCUAUGGACAAAUGAAAUCCUAUGGACAAAUGAAAUCCCAUGAAUCUCAAAUGAAAUCCUAUGGACAACUGAAGUCUGAAAAUGCUCAAAUGAAAUCUUAUAGCCACCUAAAAUCCCAAGAUGCCCAAUUAAAAUCCUAUGGUCAACAAAAAUCCUUUGGUGAAGAUGCCCAACUGAAGUCUUAUGCCCAACAAAAAUCCCAAGUAGCCCAACAAGCCUUUAGCCAAGCAAAAUCCCAAAGUGGCCAACUAAAAUCCUUUGGCCAAGCAAAAUCCCUAAAAGGUUUUUCUCAACAAACUCAGCAUAAAGGAUUUGCUAUGAGUGGAGGGCUAUCACAAGUGCGUAAACAAUAUGAUGAUGAAGCAUCUGUACAACAAAAGUCUAGCCAACAGCUAAAAACAGAGCACGAUUUAUCCCAAUUUGGACAACAACGCCAAUUUGGACAAGAACGCUCACAAUCCUAUAAAGGAUAUCUUGAACAAUACCAAAAGAAAUCACAAGACGACUAUCAACAAAGAAGAAAUUUUAAUGGAGGUGGCUAUUUUACAAAGGGAGGAGAAGGCCUAUAUCAAACUCAACUUAAGAGCUAAUAUAGUCAUUAACCAACUAAAGACCAAGAUCAAUAUCAAGGACGAGUUCAAAUGACUCACCUCACCAGAGUCAAGUCUAUGACACCUUCCAGAUGCCGCCUGCAAUGUGGUCCCAGGUCUCUGGUUCAUGGACAACCCUCUACUCACAUUCGCUUUUCUGUAGGACACCUAACCCUGGAGCUUCCUCAAACACUUGCUUUCCAAUAAAAAUGUAACUUUCUGCA